CAUGAAGAGGAUAGCUUCUCUUCAGUUUUGGGGGCUGAGGCUUAAGAAGGACAUUGGAACAAUGGUAUUCCAAAUAGAUAGCUUUGUGUUACACUCUAGUCCAAGCACAGCAGUAAAAUUAUUCAUAGCAAUAGCAGGAGUUCAUUGAAUAGCUUCGAGCAUACAAACUAAGACCUUUGACAUAUUUCUUCAAUUCUUGCUAGGAUUGUGACAGGUUUAAUUUUGGAGAUUAAAACCACCCUCUUUGGUUAGUGGUCCUAGGCAACGAUUUUGGAGACAUUUCCAUUCUCUCCAGUCAGUCUGAUGUGUUUCAGCAGUUAAAAAUCAAGAGGUGAAGGAUACUACAUGGAUUGCUUGGUUCAUACGUAAAACAUGUCGCUGCUUCGACAAGUUUGGAGGAGCCUCUACUUUGGGUUCCCAUACUGGCCAGAUUAAGUAGUACGGGGGCAUCUUUGCAAAAGGAAGAUUCAACUGGUGAUUUGAAAAAUAAUCAGGGUUAUAUGGUGUUUCUAUGUUAAUAACUUGUAUUCAUAAAUCUCUCUCUCUCUCUCUCUCAAUGUGCAAUUUGUACAUGAAUAUCUACAUUUACUUCUUUAAUGUGUUUGUAGAGUAGUCAUUGUUUAUAUGUGCAUGCAUACAAUGUACUUAGGUACUAAGAUAUCUUAACUAUCUCAGCCAUAAGGGUCAUGAUAUGCUUGCACCUUUCACAGCUGGGUGGUGGUGUACUGAUUUGAAUCCUUUGGUUAUAGAAAGGUCUGAGGUAUUGU